rnacentral:rRNA from 1 species
GGUUAAGCGACUAAGCGUACACGGUGGAUGCCCUGGCAGUCAGAGGCGAUGAAGGGCGUGCUAAUCUGCGAUAAGCGCCGGUAAGGUGAUAUGAACCGUUAUAACCGGCGAUACCCGAAUGGGGAAACCCAGUGUGACUCGUCACACUAUCAUUAACUGAAUCCAUAGGUUAAUGAGGCGAACCGGGGGAACUGAAACAUCUAAGUACCCCGAGGAAAAGAAAUCAACCGAGAUUCCCCCAGUAGCGGCGAGCGAACGGGGAGGAGCCAAGAGCCUGAAUCAGCAUGUGUGUUAGUGGAAGCGUCUGGAAAGGCGCGCGAUACAGGGUGACAGCCCCGUACACAAAAGCGCAUGUGCUGUGAGCUCGAUGAGUAGGGCGGGACACGUGGUAUCCUGUCUGAAUAUGGGGGGACCAUCCUCCAAGGCUAAAUACUCCUGACUGACCGAUAGUGAACCAGUACCGUGAGGGAAAGGCGAAAAGAACCCCGGCGAGGGGAGUGAAAAAGAACCUGAAACCGUGUACGUACAAGCAGUGGGAGCCCCACCACCAAAGCAUUCUCUGGUGUUGAAGGCCCUGCAAAGCAGCAUCGCGGUGGCGGAGCGUCGUUUGCGACGCCCAACACAAAAAACAAGCGGUGAGUGCUUUGGGGUGGGGUGACUGCGUACCUUUUGUAUAAUGGGUCAGCGACUUAUAUUCUGUAGCAAGGUUAACCGUAUAGGGGAGCCGUAGGGAAACCGAGUCUUAACCGGGCGUUAAGUUGCAGGGUAUAGACCCGAAACCCGGUGAUCUAGCCAUGGGCAGGUUGAAGGUUGGGUAACACUAACUGGAGGACCGAACCGACUAAUGUUGAAAAAUUAGCGGAUGACCUGUGGCUGGGGGUGAAAGGCCAAUCAAACCGGGAGAUAGCUGGUUCUCCCCGAAAGCUAUUUAGGUAGC